AACGAACGCUGGCGGCAUGCCUAACACAUGCAAGUCGAACGGGACCACCGGGUCUAGUGGCUCAUGGGUGUGUAACGUGUGGGAACGUGCCCGUAGGUUCGGAAUAACACUUCGACAGGGGUGCUAAUGCCGGAAAAUGUCUCCGGACCAAAGAUUUAUCGCCUUUGGGUGGGCGCGCGUUGGUUGAGCUUGGUGGUAGGGUAAAAGCCUACCACGGCUACGAUGCAUAGCUGGUUAGAGAGGAUGAUCAGCCACACUGGGACUGGGACACGGCCCAGACUCCUGCGGGAGGCGGCAAUGGGGAAUAUAGGACCAUGGGCGAGAUCCUGAACCAGCACUGCCGCGUGAGUGAUGAAGGCGUUAGAGUUGUAAAGCUCUUUUACCCGGGAUGAUUAUGACGGUACCGGGAGAAUAAGCACCGGCUAACUCCGUG
rnacentral:rRNA from 1 species